rnacentral:rRNA from 1 species
GACGAACGCUGGCGGCGUGCCUAAUACAUGCAAGUCGAACGCAGUGGGGACGGGUGAGUAACACGUGGGUAACCUCCCAUCAGAGGGGAUAACACUUGGAAACAGGUGCUAAACCGAUACUGAUGGAUGGACCCGCGGUGCAUUAGCUAGUUGGUGAGGUAACGGCUGACUAAGGCCACGAUGCAUAGCCGACCUGAGAGGGGGACCUGCCACACUGUGCCUGAGACCGGUCCCAGAGUCCUACGGGAGGCAGCAGUAGGGACGCUUCGGCAAUGUACGAAAGUCUGACCGAGCAACGCCGCGUGAGUGAAGAAGGUUUUCGGAUCGUAAAACUCUGUUGUUAGAGAAGCGGUAUCUACCCAGAAAGCCACGGCUAACUACGUGCCAGCAGCCGCGGUAAUAC